UACGUAGGGUGCAAGCGUUAAUCGGAAUUACUGGGCGUAAAGCGUGCGCAGGCGGUUAUGUAAGACAGAUGUGAAAUGCCCGGGCUUAACCUGGGAACUGCAUUUGUGACUGCAUGGCUAGAGUUUGGCAGAGGGGGGUGAGAAUUCCACGUGUAGCAGUGAAAUGCGUAGAUAUGUGGAGGAACACCGAUGGCGAAGGCAGCCCCCCUGGGUCGA
rnacentral:rRNA from 1 species